rnacentral:tRNA from 1 species
GUGGCUCAGUGGUAGAGUGCUUGCCUUGCAUGCAUGAGGUCCUGGGUUCAAUUCCUAAGC